UUGCCUUUCAACGAGCGACGCACACAAACAAAACCGAUAAAUAUUCGACAAGAGACAACGGCUUGUUGUUAGUUUGGCCCUUCGCUCACAGAAACACGUGUUCCGUGUCCCACGCGAGAACGUGUAUCGGUCAAGUAUCGGAUUACUGUCAUGGGAUCACCCUUUAGGAACCCUGUCAGUCUGUCUGUCGAAGGUCAAGGACACGGGCGGAGUACACAGUUUCCAUUCAUCAACGGAAAGGGGGGAAGACCUUUAAAACGAUCGGAAGGGGAUGAUAAAUGCUUCGCUUUAAAACGUUUGACUACGUUAAUUAAUAUGAUGAGUGCGAUCAAACGCUAACCAUGCUCUUUGAUAGUACGUACUAUGUUCAGAACGUUGAUCUCGUUUGUAAUCGAACUUUAUAGCAAAUAAACGAAAUGUCGAUAA